rnacentral:rRNA from 1 species
AUGGAGCGCAGACUCUUGCGCUACCGCCCCGUUGAUGACUUCUACAAAGACUGGCUGGACCGCAUCGCCGAGCUAGUCAGUGCUGUUGGGGGCUCUCCUGCCCCGUCUCUCUCGUUGCCUUGCCCGCCGCCUGCUGCGGGUGACGUAGCUCAUGGAGCACCUCCUCCACCUCCCCGUCAAGACGUCUUCCUCAGGCCAAGGUGCGCGGCCCCAUGGCGUGACCGGCCGCGCAGGGCGCCUGCCGCCUGCUGUGUUCGCCUCAAGAUCCCCAAGGUUUCGGACGAGGCCAUCAUCUUAGCGUUUUCUGAUGGCGUCCGCGACGUCAAGAUGAAGGCAGAACUCGCCAUACACGAGGAGCUGUGCACGGCUCUGGAGAUGUUCAACAUGGCAACUAAGUGCGCAAGAGCUGAGGAGGGUCGCCUCUCCCUCCAGGAGCUCUCGGGGACAGACCUAGAAGACAAGAAGGCCAAGCUCAAGGACGUGAAGCGCAAGGGGCUGGCUGUGCUUGCGGCCGAGCCAGAGAUGAAGCGCGACUGCGACCAUCCAGAGUCAUCCAAGGGCAGCCGCCCAUUCUCAGUCUUCCAAAACAUGCACAACCACAACACCAAUGACUGUCAGGAGCUCAGGGCCGUCCACGACGGGCGCCUCAGUCGUCGCCCCGAGCGCAACGACCGAGGCCAUGGCUGCGGAGGAGGCCGAGGAGGAGGACGCUGGGAUGACCGCGGCCCUUGUCAGGAGUGGUGCGAUCAGCCUCGUGAGGAGCGCUGGCAAGCCCAGCCUCAUGAGGGCGCCUGGAGAGAUCAGCCUCGUGAGGAUCGUCCUCAGGGUAAUGCCGGCCUCCCUUCGCUGUCACCACCACCAAGAAGGAAUGACGACCACCACCAGGACAAGGGGGCUGGGGGCUUCUAG